GAGAUUAUAGUUAACUAUAACAUUUAAUUUGCAAUUAAAAAUUACCAAAUAAAGGUUUUUCUCA
rnacentral:tRNA from 1 species